rnacentral:SRP_RNA from 1 species
GCUGGGCAUGGUGGCGUGUGCCUGUAAUCCCAGCUACUCAGGAGGCUGAGGCAGGAGAAUCGCUUGAACCCAGGAGGAGGGGGUUGCAGUGAGCUAAGAUCACACCACUGCACUCCAGCCUGGGCAACAGAGCAAGAUUCUGUCUCAA